CUUCCACUAAAAAAUCUAAUCGAUCCAUCGAUCGAUCAGGUUUGUGUAGACGCGUACGGAGCCAGCCCCAUACCAUACGCCUCGCGUCGGCAGUCGCGUACAGAGAGGCGGUAGCGGCAGAGCGCCGCCGGACGCCGCAGGCCACGCAGCGAUGACGGUGACUACGCGCGGCCCGCGAGCGACCCCGCACGCCGUCGGCUGGUCCGGAGCUCGGUUAUUGAACCUUGUUGUCAGAUGAUGUAUUUUGAAAUUUGGAGAUGCAAGACAUCUAUUUCAAUUUCAAGGAAAAUGGGUCCAUUGAAGAACCUUGUCUAUACACAGAUAUGUGAACAAAGAAGAUCAGUCCCGAAGAAGAUCACCACUUCUUUGCUGCCAAAUGAAGACAGGUUAUUGGAAGGCCAGGCUGUGCUGAAUAUUGGGCUCGGAAGGGGGCAAUGUCUCAACACCAUUUGUGAAAUUAGACCAAUAUGAACACAAUCAAUCCUAAGAAAUCUAAUACUCCUAUGAGACAAA